GGGUUGUGAGGUUAAGCGACUAAGCGUACACGGUGGAUUCCCUGGCAGUCAGAGGCGAUGAAGAGCGUG
rnacentral:rRNA from 1 species